rnacentral:rRNA from 1 species
UACGAAGGGGGCUAGCGUUGCUCGGAAUCACUGGGCGUAAAGCGCACGUAGGCGGGUCCUUAAGUCAGGGGUGAAAUCCCGGAGCUCAACUCCGGAACUGCCUUUGAUACUGGGGAUCUUGAGUCCGGAAGAGGUGAGUGGAACUCCGAGUGUAGAGGUGAAAUUCGUAGAUAUUCGGAAGAACACCAGUGGCGAAGGCGGCUCACUGGUCCGGUACUGACGCUGAGACGCGAAAGCGUGGGGAGCGAACAGG